GGACGAACGCUGGCGGCGUGCUUAACACAUGCAAGUCGAACGGAAAGGCCUCUUCGGAGGUACUCGAGUGGCGAACGGGUGAGUAACACGUGGGUGAUCUGCCCUGCACUUUGGGAUAAGCCUGGGAAACUGGGUCUAAUACCGGAUAGGACCAUGCUUUAGUGUGUGUGGUGGAAAGUUUUUUCGGUGUAGGAUGAGCCCGCGGCCUAUCAGCUUGUUGGUGGGGUAAUGGCCUACCAAGGCGGCGACGGGUAGCCGGACUGAGAGGUUGGUCGGCCACAUUGGGACUGAGAUACGGCCCAGACUCCUACGGGAGGCAGCAGUGGGGAAUAUUGCACAAUGGGCGCAAGCCUGAUGCAGCGACGCCGCGUGGGGGAUGACGGCCUUCGGGUUGUAAACUCCUUUCGACAGGGACGAAGCUUUUUGUGACGGUACCUGUAUAAGAAGCACCGGCUAACUACGU
rnacentral:rRNA from 1 species